CCGGUUGCCGGCGACCGGCGCACGGGUGAGUAACACGUAUGCAACCUGCCCGUGGCAGGGGGAUAAGCGGGGGAAACCCCGUCUAAUACCGCGUAACGCGGCCUUGGGGCAUCCCAAGGCCGCCAAAGGGAGCAAUCCCGGCCACGGAUGGGCAUGCGGCGCAUUAGCUAGUCGGCGGGGUAACGGCCCACCGAGGCGACGAUGCGUAGGGGUUCUGAGAGGAAGGCCCCCCACACUGGUACUGAGACACGGACCAGACUCCUACGGGAGGCAGCAG
rnacentral:rRNA from 1 species